rnacentral:rRNA from 1 species
GACGAACGCUGGCGGUGUGCCUAAUACAUGCAAGUCGAGCGAAGUUUUUCUGGUGCUUGCACUAGAAAAACUUAGCGGCGAACGGGUGAGUAACACGUAAAGAACCUGCCUCAUAGACUGGGACAACUAUUGGAAACGAUAGCUAAUACCGGAUAACAGUGUUUCUCGCAUGAGAGAUAUUUAAAAGUUGGUUAUGCUAACACUAUGAGAUGGCUUUGCGGUGCAUUAGCUAGUUGGUGGGGUAAAGGCCCACCAAGGCGACGAUGCAUAGCCGACCUGAGAGGGUGAUCGGCCACACUGGGACUGAGACACGGCCCAGACUCCUACGGGAGGCAGCAGUAGGGAAUCUUCCGCAAUGGGCGAAAGCCUGACGGAGCAACGCCGCGUGAGUGAAGAAGGAUUUCGGUUCGUAAAGCUCUGUUGUUAGGGAAGAAUGGAUAUGUAGUAACUAUACAUGUAAGAGACGGUACCUAACCAGAAAGCCACGGCUAACUACGUG